rnacentral:rRNA from 1 species
UAGGGAAUCUUCGGCAAUGGACGGAAGUCUGACCGAGCAACGCCGCGUGAGUGAAGAAGGUUUUCGGAUCGUAAAGCUCUGUUGUUAGAGAAGAACGUUGGUAGGAGUGGAAAAUCUACCAAGUGACGGUAACUAACCAGAAAGGGACGGCUAACUACGUGCCUGCAGCCGCGGUAAUACGUAGGUCCCGAGCGUUGUCCGGAUUUAUUGGGCGUAAAGCGAGCGCAGGCGGUUCUUUAAGUCUGAAGUUAAAGGCAGUGGCUUAACCAUUGUACGCUUUGGAAACUGGAGGACUUGAGUGCAGAAGGGGAGAGUGGAAUUCCAUGUGUGACGGUGAAAUGCGUAGAUAUAUGGAGGAACACCGGUGGCGAAAGCGGCUCUCUGGUCUGUAACUGACGCUGAGGCUCGAAAGCGUGGGGAGCAAACAGG